rnacentral:rRNA from 1 species
GCGAGCACGCGCGUGUGGCAUAUCAAUAAGCGGAGGAAAAGAAACUAACAAGGAUUCCCUUAGUAACGGCGAGUGAAGCGGGAAGAGCUCAAAUUUGAAAUCUUCAAGGUUCUACCUUGACGAAUUGUAGUUUAUAGAAGUGUUUUCUGUUAGUGGAGUGGCAAAAGUUCUUUGGAAUAGGACAUCAUAGAGGGUGAGAAUCCCGUAUUUGGUCAUUCCUCCUAGCGUUGUGAUACACUUUCAACGAGUCGGAUUGUUUGGGAAUGCAGUCCAAAAUGGGUGGUAAAUUUCAUCUAAAGCUAAAUAUUGGCGAGAGACCGAUAGCGAACAAGUACCGUGAGGGAAAGAUGAAAAGAACUUUGAAAAGAGAGUUAAACAGUACGUGAAAUUGUCAAAAGGGAAGCGUUUGACACCAGUGUUGUUUUUCCGAAAAUCAAUUACGAAUGUUUUGUUUUUAAGGAGUUAUGACUUCAUCGGCUUGCUCCUUUCUUUAUGAAACUUUCUUAAUGCACUUUUCGGUUAACAAGUCAACAUCAAUUUCUUUUGUUGUAAAAGGGUAUGAGGAAGGUGGCUUUCUUUUCGGAGAAAGUGUUUAUAGCCUUGUGCCUCUGACAAUCGGAGAGAUUGAGGUCUGCAGCGUAGAUCCUUCGGGGUUAGAUACGUUUGUGCUAAGUUAUAGCUUUUCAUAGACAACUUGUUGACUAUGUUUAGUCUUGUAGCUUACUCGCUGACGCUAUUUUACCUACGCUUAGGAUGUUGAUGUGAUACUGCGAGCA